UAUGUAAUACUGCAACAUGAAAGACUUUCUUCUUGCUUUAGUUUCGGUUGUGGCUGCCUUAGCCGUCGUGAUACUUUUUAUAAUGUUUGGAUGGUACAUCGUGUGGGUGGCCUUCCUGUCUCGGUUCAAACUUAUGCGAGAACUUCUCGGAAAAAAUGACGAUAUGGACGUUAAGUCGGAAAAGGAUACAAAGAAUAGGCCAGCAGGCUAUGGGAAGUAUCAACAGAAAGACAAGAGCAGAUAGCGUAACCUGAUGUGGACAUGAAAACAUUGAUGUUCACUUCUUAUCCUGUCUCCUGUUACGACUGAUUUGCUUGGGAAGUG